rnacentral:tRNA from 1 species
CCCUGGUUAGCUCAGUUGGUAGAGCACUCCACUUGAAAUGGAGAGGUCCCGGGUUCGAUACCCGGACCAGGCG